rnacentral:tRNA from 1 species
GCCCAGAUCGCAUAACCUGGUAUUGCGCAAGCCUGGAAAGCUUGUUUCCGCAAGGAUAUGCAGGUUCAAAUCCUGCUCUGGGCG